rnacentral:lncRNA from 1 species
UCACAUCUAGGUCUGAAAUUUCUAUCACUCAUUCACCUGUCAAGGAAUCCAUUUUCCUCAUUGUUCCAUUUUUUUAGAGUAAUUAACAAAAUCCUCACAAGGUUUAUGUUUAUCAUACUUACAUCCAAUAAUUUGUAAUAUCUAUAUUUACAUCCAAUUAAAUUAAUGAUGUUAGUGAAAUCAUUUAUCUUAUUUAAAAAGUUGAAACCGCUCUUGGG